GACGAACGCUGGCGGCGUGCUUAACACAUGCAAGUCGAACGGAAAGGCCCUGCUCUUGUGGGGUGCUCGAGUGGCGCACGGGUGAGUAACACGUGAGUAACCUGCCCUUGUCUUUGGGAUAACUUCAGGAAACUGGGGCUAAUACCGGAUAGGAGCUCCUGCUGCAUGGUGGGGGUUGGAAAGUUUCGGCGGUUGGGGAUGGACGCGCGGCUUAUCAGCUUGUUGGUGGGGUAGUGGCGUACCAAGGCUUUGACGGGUAGCCGGCCUGAGAGGGUGACCGGCCACAUUGGGACUGAGAUGCGGCCCAGACUCCUACGGGAGGCAGCAGUGGGGAAUAUUGCACAAUGGGCGGAAGCCGGAUGCAGCAACGCCGCGUGCGGGAUGACGGCCUUCGGGUUGGAAACCGCUUUCGCCUGUGACGAAGCGUGAGUGACGGUAAUGGGUAAAGAAGCACCGGCUAACUACGUG
rnacentral:rRNA from 1 species